GAGUUUGAUCAUGGCUCAGGAUUAACGCUGGCGGCAUGCCUAAUACAUGCAAGUCGAACGGAGUAGCAAUACUUAGUGGCGAACGGGUGAGUAACACGUAUCUAAUCUACCAUUUAGUGGGGAAUAACUGUUGGAAACGACAGCUAAUACCGCAUAAUAUUGCUGGAUAAUUCCCAGUAAUGAAAGGAGCUUUCAAGCUCCGCUGAUUGAUGAGGAUGCGGCGCAUUAGCUAGUUGGUAGGGUAAUGGCCUACCAAGGCAAUGAUGCGUAGCCGAUCUGAGAGGAUGAACGGCCACAUUGGGACUGAGACACGGCCCAAACUUCUACGGAAGGCAGCAGUAGGGAAUUUUUCACAAUGGGCGAAAGCCUGAAGGAGCAAUGCCGCGUGACUGAUGAAGGUCUUCGGAUUGUAAAGGUCUGUUGUAAGGGAAGAAAUGGUAAAACAGGAAAUGGUUUUAUCUAUGACGGUACCUUACCAGAAAGCCACGGCUAACUAUGUGCCAGCAGCCGCGGUAAUACAUAGGUGGCAAGCGUUAUCCGGAUUUAUUGGGCGUAAAGGGUGCGUAGACGGUUUUGCAAGUCUGAGGUUAAAUUUAGGAGCUCAACUCCUAAUCGCCUUGNAAACUACAAGACUAGAGUAUAGGAGAGGUUAGUGGAAUUCCAUGUGUAGCGGUGGAAUGUGUAGAUAUAUGGAGGAACACCAGUGGCGAANGCGGCUAACUGGGC
rnacentral:rRNA from 1 species